GCGCGAAAACUUUACAAUGCUGGCAACAGCGAUAAGGGAACCUCGAGCGCCAGGUUACAAAUCUGGCUGUCGAGAUGCCUAAAAAGCAUUUCAUAGCAAGGGCCGGGCAAGACCGGUGCCAGCCGCCGCGGUAACACCGGCGGCUCGAGUGGUAACCGUUAUUAUUGGGUCUAAAGGGUCUGUAGCCGGCCGGAUAAGUCUCUUGAGAAAUCUGGCAGCUUAACUGUCAGGCUUUCAGGAGAUACUGUCUGGCUCGAGGCCGGGAGAGGUGAGAGG
rnacentral:rRNA from 1 species